GGAAGUAAAAGUCGUAACAAGGUUUCCGUAGGUGAACCUGCGGAAGGAUCAUUACUGAUUUAGCGAACCGAGCGUUAGCGAGGUUUUGCGAUCAACUUGUAUUUAAAACCCACUCUUCAAUGUAUAAAAUUUGUAUUAAUGAUAAAUUAAAAGAUCACUUUCAACAACGGAUCUCUUGGCUCUCGCAUCGAUGAAGAACGCAGCGAAGUGCGAUAAGUAAUGUGAAUUGCAGUAUUCCGUGAAUCAUCGAACCUUUGAACGCAUAUUGCACUUUCUGGUAUUCCGGAAAGUAUGCCUGUUUGAGGGUCAGUUAAAUAAAAAUCGGUGUUGUUGCCGCUUUCCGUGGUGACGCGUCGGAAUUGAGUCGCCUUCGGUUAAGUGACUUAAAAUUUUAUAUGAUUUUCGAACGUAUUUAAAUUUAUUUGAACGUUUGAUAUCGAAUGCUUAUUAGGUUCGGUCAUCCUCAUGACUCGCGCCUAUAAUUUUUCAUUAAAUGACCUCAAAUCAGGUAAGAAUACCCGCUGAACUUAAGCAUAUCAAUAAGCGGAGGA
rnacentral:rRNA from 1 species